CGUGGUGAGUGAAAACCUAGCCGCCUCCUCCCGCACUCGCGUCCGCCUCCUCUCCCCUCCCGCGCGCCUCCUCUCCUCCCACCCACGUCGUCGACGCCGUCACCCACCGCCUCGAAUCGCGCCGGCGGCGGCCAGAUCCGCCGCAACAGAGCCCCUCUCCCCCCUCCAACGACGACGAGCAGCAGAGGAGGGAGGACGAGGAGCACGAAGGCGGCGGCGGCGGCGGGGAGCAGCAUCAGCACGCCAAGGUGGCGCAGCAGCAGUCCUUGGGCGAUGCGGCCCCGCGCCUGCACCGCAUCGCACCAGGAAGAGGUGCCCCGCCCCGCCCUCCCCGCUGUCGCCGUCUCCGCCUCGCGCCAUGGCCGACUCCCCACGCCGGAGAUAAAUGGCGACGCCGGCCUCCACGGAUCUCUCUCUCUCAGCUACCCCUCCCUCUCUCGCCCUCUCUCCCUCUCCCGACUGCGCCAUCGCCCCCGCUCACCCUCGCGUCGUCGCGUCUUCCCCUCCUCCCCGCCCUCUGCCGACUUGUUCAUUUGCAAGCGCAAUGCUUCAGUGACUAUCACUGGGAAGAGGCACCGUCGACCUCGCUGUGUUGCCAUCAUCGGGAGGGGUGGAGGCUGCCGCUUGCGCAGCUGCUUCACCCAGAGGAGCGCCAGGAGGAGCGUGUCCUCGCCAUCGAUCGGAGGAAUGCCAGAUUGGCAUCGAGCCAAGCUGAUGAAGGAUGAUGCCCUUUGGUUGGCACUUAUGAUAUAGCUUCCGACGUCGGAGGUUCCAUAGAAUUUGUGAAGAGAAGUACAUCGACAGAAAUGCCUUUCUUCUGAUAAUUGUAUGUGCUGGGAGAGGAGGUUUCCAUGAUUAUCUAGCAUUCAUUAGUUACAGCAGGUAUGUCCCAAGUGAACUGGAUUUUUGCGAUGAUUUGGUCGAUUCAGACUAUUUCUUAUCUUGAAUGGCUUUCACCUUUGGGAAAUUCAAGUCAUGGAAGUGUUUCAGUGAUAUUAAAGCUUUUUUAGAUACUACUAUGACACUAUGGCAGCCAAGGUGUUCUUCGGCUGAAAUUAGGCUGCUCCUGCUACGUCUAUCAGUGAAAUGUCUCCUUCCAUGAUAAAGCAGCCUACUCUUAAUUACUUACAUAUGGUUGAAUAACCAUCGGUUAUUCAGGUUAAAUAGUAUUUACUACUGAGAGGUAGUUUGAGGGAAUUGACAGUGCAAGAAAAAUUAAAAGCAGUGUCAUGCUUUUCAGUCACCUGAUUAUUUGCAUGUGUUGAUACGACCUGUGGAGUAUGUUUAUGGAUGGACUAGCCAACCCAUGGUUUUCUAGGUGGAUCCAUGUGAAUAGAUUGCUGACAGCAACAAUCCUUGACCUGUAUAUAUCCCCUUCCAUGUCUCAAAUAAUUGUCAUGUAGAAACAAAAAUGGAAUAACCAAUAAGUGGCCAUUUCCCUAUCCUGAGUAAAUUAACAAGCACUUCAGCAUACAUCCGUUUUUUUAUUGUGACUUUAAUUGGUCAGUGUAUCUUGUGAUUAUUUUUUGGGUAAUGCCUUCAUCAGCAGAUUGAGGCUUCCUGGGGUCAUGGACAACACUAAUUUCAUAGAUGGGAGAGGUUGUAUGCUCAGGGAGGCACAAGGGAGACCAAGAGGGAAUUUAAGCAUGAAUACACUCAGUGAGCAAUUGAAGAUAAUUUGUUCAGGAUGUCCAUGAACUGUAAUUUUAGGGAACAGAACAGAGAAUGGGAGCGAGGUAUAGCAUGAUGGCGGCACACACAAAUCCAUGUACUGUUUAUUCAUCCAUGGUGGUAAUAUUUAUUCUCGCAGAACUCUCCUCCCUCCUUCUCUUCUUCUCUUUCUCGGUCUCCCACUCUCCAUUUCUAUAUCAUAUUACUGAUACACUUCAUGUAGGAAGAAAGAUACGUGUCUGGUAUUUUCCUUCUCAUUGAUAUGCACCCGACCAUGGCUAUUUGUACUAAUUGUAUAAAUGACUUAGAGUUUGGAAAGGGAACUUUGUCUCGAAACGGUUUUACAAAUAUCUUUUGACAGUCCGGAUGUGUGUUUUCCUUUGACCCUGCAAAAGAAUUGUAAAAGGAUGAGCAGUUUUGGAAAAUACCAAAG